GUGUCAGCAGCCGCGGUAAUACGUAGGGGGCGAGCGUUGUCCGAAGUUACUGGGCGUAAAGCGCGCGUAGGCGGGUUGGCAAGUCUGCUGUGAAAGCCCGGAGCUCAACUCCGGAGGGUCGGUGGAUACUGCCAGUCUUGAAGUGGCUAGGGGGAGAUGGAAUUACCGGUGUAGCGGUGAAAUGCGUAGAGAUCGGUAGGAACACCAGUGGCGAAGGCGGUCUCCUGGGGUCAUCUUGACGCUGAGGCGCGAAAGCUGGGGGAGCGAACGGGAUUAGAUACCCCGGUAGUCC
rnacentral:rRNA from 1 species